rnacentral:rRNA from 1 species
AAAAAGCUCAACAGCGAAAAAGCCAGCCGCCCGUACCGCAAACCGACACAGGUAGACGGGUAGAAGAUACCAAGGCGAACGAGCGACACCUUGUUAAGGAAUUAGGCAAAAUAGCCCCGUAACUUCGGGAGAAGGGGCGCCACAGUAAUGUGGCCGCAGUGAAAGGGUUCUGGCGACUGUUUAACAAAAACACAGGUCUCUGCGAAGGUGCAAACCGACGUAUAGGGGCUGACACCUGCCCAGUGCCGGAAGGUUAAGAGGAGAGGUUAGUGCGCAAGCACGAGGCUUUGAAUUGAAGCCCCGGUGAACGGCGGCGGUAACUAUAACCGUCCUAAGGUGGCGAAAUUCCUUGUCGGGUAAGUUCCGACCCGCACGAAUGGUGUAACGAUCAGAACACUGUCUCAACAAGGUCCUCGGCAAAAUUGAAGGGCGCGUGAAGAUACGCGCAACCCGCAGCUGGACAAAAAGACCCCGUGGAGCUUGACUGUAGCUUGCUAUUGCGUUAGGGCGAGAUUUGUGUAGGAUAGCUGGGAGGCAGAGAACCUAGGGCGCUAGCCUUGGGGGAGCCGACGGUGAAAUACCAGCCUGAUUUCGCUUUGGCCCUAACCUGUUGCCCUGAAGCGGGCAUGGGGACAGUGGCAGGUGGGCAGUUUGACUGGGGCGGUCGCCUCCUAAAAGGUAGCGGAGGCGCCCAAAGGUUGGCUCAGGUGGAAUGGAAACCCACUGAGGCGUGUAAUGGCACAAGCCAGCUUGACUGCGAGGCCUACAAGCCGAGCAGAGACGAAAGUCGGGCAUAGUGAUCCCACGGUACUGAGUGGAAGGGCCGUGGCUUACCGGAUAAAAGCUACCCCGGGGAUAACAGGCUAGUCUAGUCCAAGAGUUCACAUCGACGACUAGGCUCGGCACCUCGAUGUCGGCUCGUCGCAUCCUGGGGCUGGAUCAGGUCCCAAGGGUUGGGCUGUUCGCCCAUUAAAGCGGUACGUGAGCUGGGUUCAGACCGUCGUGAGACAGGUCGGUCUCUAUCCACUGUGGGCGUAAGAAGGUUGAGGGGAGCUGCCCCUAGUACGAGAGGACCGGGGUGGACGCAGCGAUGGUGUGCCGGUUGUCGCGCCAGCGGCAGAGCCGGGUAGCUAACUGCGGAGCAGAGAACCGCUGAAAGCAUCUAAGUGGGAAACUGACCUCAAGAUGAGCCUUCUGUGCUGUAAAACAGAGUAAGACCGCUGGGAGACGACCAGUUGGAUAGGGCGGAGGUGGAAGCGCA